rnacentral:rRNA from 1 species
GUGGCGAACGGGUGAGUAACACGUGGGUAAUCUGCCCUGUACUCUGGGAUAAGCCUGGGAAACUGGGUCUAAUACCGGAUAUGACCUUUCACCGCAUGGUGGGGGGUGGAAAGUUCCGGCGGUAUGGGAUGAACCCGCGGCCUAUCAGCUUGUUGGUGGGGUAAUGGCCUACCAAGGCGACGACGGGUAGCCGGCCUGAGAGGGUGACCGGCCACACUGGGACUGAGACACGGCCCAGACUCCUACGGGAGGCAGCAGUGGGGAAUAUUGGACAAUGGGCGCAAGCCUGAUCCAGCCAUGCCGCGUGAGUGAUGAAGGCCCUAGGGUUGUAAAGCUCUUUCACCGGUGAAGAUAAUGACGGUAACCGGAGAAGAAGCACCGGCUAACUACGUGCCAGCAGCCGCGGUAAUACGUAGGGUGCGAGCGUUGUCCGGAAUUAUUGGGCGUAAAGAGCUCGUAGGCGGUUCGUCGCGUCGGCUGUGAAAUCUGGAGGCUUAACCUUCAGCGUGCAGUCGUUACGGGCAGACUUGAGUUCGGCAGGGGAGACUGGAAUUCCUGGUGUAGCGGUGAAAUGCGCAGAUAUCAGGAGGAACACCGGUGGCGAAGGCGGGUCUCUGGGCCGAUACUGACGCUGAGGAGCGAAAGC